GUGAAUACAUAGCUUAUGGAAGGUAAACCCAGGGAACUGAAACAUCUAAGUACCUGGAGGAAGAGAAAGAAAAAUCGAUUUUCUUAGUAGCGGCGAGCGAAAGGGAAAGAGCCCAAACCGGAAAUUUAUUUCCGGGGUUGCGGACAGAACAUUAACGAGAAGUUAUGGAUAAUUGAAGAUGACUGGAAAGUCAAGCCAUAGAGUGUAAUAGCCACGUAAGUGAAAUUCAUAAUAAUCAAGUUCUGAUCCAGAGUACCACGAGACACGUGAAACCUUGUGGGAAGCAGGGAGGACCACCUCCCAAGGCUAAAUACUACCUGAUGACCGAUAGUGAAGCAGUACCGUGAGGGAAAGGUGAAAAGAACCCCGGGAGGGGAGUGAAAUAGAACCUGAAACCGUGUGCCUACAACCGGUCAAAGCCCCUUAUGAGGGUGAUGACGUGCUUUUUGUAGAACGAGCCAACGAGUUACGGUAUGUAGCAAGGUUAAGUACUUAAGGUACGGAGCCGAAGGGAAACCGAGUCUUAAUAGGGCGACUAGUUGCAUGCCGUAGACCCGAAACCGGGUGACCUAUCCAUGGCCAGGUUGAAGCGGGGGUAAAACCCCGUGGAGGACCGAACCACGUUGCUGUUGAAAAAGCAUGGGAUGAGCUGUGGAUAGCGGAGAAAUUCCAAUCGAACUCGGAGAUAGCUGGUUCUCCUCGAAAUAGCUUUAGGGCUAGCGUCGGAUAUGAGUAGUGGAGGUAGAGCACUGAAUGGGCUAGGGGGCAUAGCGCUUACCGAACCUUAUCAAACUCCGAAUGCCACAUACUAUUAGUCCGGCAGUCAGACUGCGAAAGAUAAGUUCCGUAGUCAAAAGGGAAACAGCCCAGAUCGUCAGCUAAGGUCCCAAAGUGUAAGUUAAGUGGAAAAGGAUGUGGGAUUUCUAAGACAACUAGGAUGUUGGCUUAGAAGCAGCCACUCAUUAAAAGAGUGCGUAAUAGCUCACUAGUCGAGAGAUCCUGCGCCGAAGAUGUCCGGGGCUCAAACUUACCACCGAAGCUACGGGUUCACACUUAUGUGUGAGCGGUAGAGGAGCGUCGUAAUCGGGCUGAAGUCGUACCGUAAGGAGCGGUGGACUGAUUACGAGUGAGAAUGUUGGCAUUAGUAGCGAGAUGUGGGUGAGAAUCCCACAGGCCGAAUAUCUAAGGUUUCCUCAGGAAGGUUCGUCCGCUGAGGGUUAGUCGGGACCUAAGCCGAGGCCGAAAGGCGUAGGCGAUGGACAAUCGGUUGAUAUUCCGAUACCACUACUGAUCGUUAUUAUCGAUGGUGUGACGGAGAAGGAUAGAGUGUGCUAGCUAUUGGAUGCUAGUCUAAGCGUUUAGGGAGUUAGGAAAGGCAAAUCCGUCCUAACAAUUCUGAGGCGUGAUGGGGAAGGUUCUACGGAACCGAAGUACUUGAUUCCAUGCUUCCAAGAAAAGCAUCUAGAGAGAGAUGUAGUGCCCGUACCGCAAACCGACACAGGUAGAUGAGGAGAGAAUCCUAAGGCCGGCGGAAGAAUCACAGUUAAGGAACUAGGCAAAUUGACCCCGUAACUUAGGGAGAAGGGGUGCCUGUGAGAGCAGGCCGCAGAGAAUAGGCCCAAGCAACUGUUUAGCAAAAACACAGGUCUCUGCUAAAGCGAAAGCUGAUGUAUAGGGGCUGACGCCUGCCCGGUGCUGGAAGGUUAAGGGGAACACUUAGCGCAAGCGAAGGUGUGAACUUAAGCCCCAGUAAACGGCGGCCGUAACUAUAACGGUCCUAAGGUAGCGAAAUUCCUUGUCAGGUAAGUUCUGACCCGCACGAAUGGCGUAAUGACUUGGGCACUGUCUCAACUGUGAAUCCGGCGAAGUUGUAGUGCGAGUGAAGAUGCUCGCUACCCGCGAUUGGACGGAAAGACCCCGUAGAGCUUUACUUGCCAUGAAUCUGGUGACAGGACAUUGUUAGGUGGGCAGUUUGACUGGGGCGGUCGCCUCCUAAAAAGUAACGGAGGCGCCCAAAGGUUCCCUCAGAACGGUCGGAAAUCGUUCGAAGAGUGCAAAGGCAGAAGGGAGCCUGACUGCGACACCCACAAGUGGAGCAGGGACGAAAGUCGGGCUUAGUGAUCCGGUGGUACCUCGUGGGAGGGCCAUCGCUCAACGGAUAAAAGCUACCUCGGGGAUAACAGGCUGAUCUCCCCCAAGAGUCCACAUCGACGGGGAGGUUUGGCACCUCGAUGUCGGCUCGUCGCAUCCUGGGGCUGAAGUAGGUCCCAAGGGUUGGGCUGUUCGCCCAUUAAAGCGGCACGCGAGCUGGGUUCAGAACGUCGUGAGACAGUUCGGUCCCUAUCCGUCGCGGGCGUAGGAAAUUUGAGAGGAGCUGUCCUUAGUACGAGAGGACCGGGAUGGACUGACCUCUGGUGCACCAGUUGUUCCGCCAGGAGCACAGCUGGGUAGCUAAGUCGGGAAGGGAUAAACGCUGAAAGCAUCUAAGCGUGAAGCCCACCUCAAGAUGAGAUUUCCCAUAGCAUAAGCUAGUAAGACCCCUUGAAGAACACGAGGUUGAUAGGUCAGAGGUGUAAGUGCAGUAAUGUAUGUAGCUGACUGAUACUAAUAGGUCGAGGGCUUGACCAA
rnacentral:rRNA from 1 species